rnacentral:rRNA from 1 species
UACGGGGGGAGCAAGCGUUGUUCGGAUUUACUGGGCGUAAAGGGCGCGUAGGCGGUCAGCACAAGUCAGUUGUGAAAUCUCCGAGCUUAACUCGGAAAGGUCAACUGAUACUGUGCGACUAGAGUGCAGAAGGGGCAACUGGAAUUCUUGGUGUAGCGGUGAAAUGCGUAGAUAUCAAGAGGAACACCUGCGGCGAAGGCGGGUUGCUGGGCUGACACUGACGCUGAGGCGCGAAAGCCAGGGGAGCAAACGGG